UAAAACUAGAGGCUCUAAAGAGCCUGUGUCGCUCACCUUGGUCUAUGUUAAUAUUAAACAUUGUACACAAAUGAAUUCAUGACAAAAUUGUGUUUUGGUGAUGGUGAUGUUUUUGAAGAUCUUACUUUAAUUAACAUUUUUGCUGCUUACAAUUAUCUCUAUCUAUAACAGUAGUUUCUGUGGAAAAUGUUAGUGAAAAUCUACAAACUUUGUGAAAAUUGUUAAAAAAAUGACUAUGAAGGGCAAUAACUCCUCAGGGGGUCAUUUGACUAUUUUGGUCAUGUUGACUUAUUCUUAGUUCUUACUUUACUGUACAUUAUUGCUGUUUACAGUUUAUCUCUAUCUAUAAUAAUAUUCAAGAUAAUAACAAAAAAACAGCAAAAUUUCCUCAAAAUUACCAAUUUAGGGGCAGCAACCUAACAACCGAUGAUCCAAUUCAUCUGAAAAUUCUAGGGCAGAUAGAUCUUGACCUGAUCAACAAUUUUACCUCUGUCAGAUUUGCUCUUAAUGCUUUGUUUUUUGGGUUAUAAGCCAAAAACUGCAUUUUUCCCCAUGUUCUAUUUUUAGCCAUGGCCGCCAAUUUGGUUGGUUGGCCGAGUUACCGGACACAAUUUUUAUACUAGAUACCCCAAAGAUGAUUGAGGCCAAGUUUCAAUUAAUUUGGCCCAGUAGUUUCAGAGGAGAAGAUUUUUCUAAAAGAUAACUAAGAUUUACGAAAAAUGGUUAAAAAUUGACUAUAAAGGGCAAUAACUCCUACAGUGGUCAACUGACCAUUUUGGUCAUGUUGACUUAUUUGUAGAUCUUACUUUGCUGAACAUUAUUGCUGUUUACAGUUUUUCUCUAUCUAUAAUAAUAUUCAAGAUAAUAACCAAAAACAGCAAAAUUUCCUUAAAAUUACCGAUUCAGGGGCAGCAACCUAACAACGGAAUGUCAGAUUCAUCUGAAAAUUUUAAAGCAGAUAGAUCUUAACCUGAUAAACAAUUUCACCCUGUGUCAGAUUUGCUCUUAAUGCUUUGGUUUUUGAGUUAUAAGCCAAAAACUGCAUUUUACCCCUAUGUUCUAUUUUUAGCCAUGGCGGCCAUCUUGGUUGGUUGGCAAGGUCACCGGACACAAUUUUCAAACUAGAUACCUCAAUGAUGAUUGUGGCCAAGUUUGGUUAAAUUUGGCCCAGUAGUUUCAGAGGAGAAGAUUUUUGUAAAAGUUAACGCCGGACGCAGGACGACGACGGACGACGACGACGGACGACGACAGACGACGGACGCCAAGUGAUGAGAAAAGCUCACUUGGCCCUUCGGGCCAGGUGAGCUAAAAA
rnacentral:lncRNA from 1 species